rnacentral:rRNA from 1 species
AUUGAACGCUGGCGGAAUGCUUUACACAUGCAAGUCGAGCGGCAGCGCGGCCUUCGGGCUGGCGGCGAGCGGCGAACGGGUGAGUAAUGCAUCGGAACAUGCCCAGUCGUGGGGGAUAACACUUCGAAAGAAGUGCUAAUACCGCAUACGUCCUGAGGGGGAAAGCGGGGGAUCGCAAGACCUCGCGCGAUUGGAGUGGCCGAUGUCAGAUUAGCUAGUUGGUGGGGUAAAGGCCUACCAAGGCGACGAUCUGUAGCUGGUCUGAGAGGAUGAUCAGCCACACUGGGACUGAGACACGGCCCAGACUCCUACGGGAGGCAGCAGUGGGGAAUUUUGGACAAUGGGGGUAACCCUGAUCCAGCCAUUCCGCGUGAGUGAAGAAGGCCUUCGGGUUGUAAAGCUCUUUCGGCAGGAACGAAACGGUGGGCUCUAACAUAGUCCGCUAAUGACGGUACCUGAAGAAGAAGCACCGGCUAACUACGUG